rnacentral:misc_RNA from 1 species
GGUUCGAUUAUGGCUCAGAUUGAACGCUGGCGGGAUGCUUUACACAGCAUGCAAGUCGAACGGCAACACAGGACUUCGGUCUGGUGGCGAGUGGCGAACGGGUGAGUAAUGUAUCGGAACGUGCCCUAGUAGCGGGGGAUAACUACGCGAAAGCGUAGCUAAUACCGCAUACGCCCUUCGGGGGAAAGCAGGGGACCUUCGGGCCUCGCACUAUUAAACGGCCGAUAUCGGAUUAGCUAGUUGGUGGGGUAACGGCUCACCAAGGCGACGAUCCGUAGCUGGUUUUGAGAGGACGACCAGCCACACUGGGACUGAGACACGGCCCAGACUCCUACGGGAGGCAGCGGUGGGGAAUUUUGGACAAUGGGGGAAACCCUGAUCCGGCUAUCCGCGUGUGCGAUGAAGGCCUUCCGGGUUCAGCACUUUUGGCGGGAAAGAAACGGCACGGGAUAAUACGUGCGGCGGUACCUGCCGGUAACACAACUUCCCGAGCGCUUCAUCAUGACUACAUUAUCCAAAAUUCCCCACUGCUGCCUCCCCGUAGGAGUCUGAAUUCGUCAGUCCCCCAGUGUGUGGUCAAACAGCUACGGACCGUCGCCUUGAGCCGUUACCCUCCAACUAGCAAUCGAUCGGCACCGCUCUGUGCAGACGGAAGUCCACUUUUCCGUAUGCGGUAUUAUGCGCUUUCGCGUGAUUCUAGACACGUUCCGACCGGUGCACCGUUCGCCGCGCGAGGAAGUCCAUGAGCCGUAUGUAAACAUCCGCCAGCGGUCAAUCUGAAUUAUAAUCGAACCCUCUGUUACCUGAUGUAAAC